rnacentral:tRNA from 1 species
AAUAUAGUGCCUGAAAAUAAAAGGGUAGCUUUGAUAGAGCUAAUAAUGUGUUUCGCACCUAUAUUA